UCCCCUUCAGUUGAGGGAUCCCUCAAAUAGUGUUAUUUGAGGGAUGGGGCGCUCAACCGUUGGAUAUGUUUUAAUGAUCUUGUGUGGCUGAGAUUGUUUUACAUCUUUUAACCCGUUUUCUGCCAAAUAACCCGACAUCCAAUGCUGGAGAAGACCUAAGGCGCGCAGGCUCUCAGAUGGGAAACGAAGGAAAAGGAAGAACCCCUUGCAAGCCUAAGAGAAGACCCACUCUCUUGAGAUGAAAUGAUGACCCACCAUUUCCAACUGAGCUUGUGAGAUUUCUAUUUCUAUAAGGAUGAUGUUUUGAACUCCUAGUGAGUAGUGGCAAAAGAUAUCCAGUUUUACUUGUGUUCAACAUAUUUCUGGUGUUGUAUGAUUGCACUGACAGAGAUCCAUUUUAAGGUUAUCUAAGCCGUAUAGCUUCUUAGGGUCAGUUAGAUGUGAGUUAUUUUUUAUUAGACAAGAAUUAAUGGAAUAUAUGAGGUUCGAAAUUUUUUUAGGGUCAGUUAGAUGGUACAAGUCUUUCUAAAUUGUUGUUUAUCCGACUCUAUUGAACUAUGAGCAAAGGUUGUUUUAAGGUAUAUCUUGUUUGGUUACUUUGUAAUUAGUUGUAUUAAUAAAAAUUGUUGAUGCAAUGUGUCAUAUUGCGUUCUCUAUGUGAUAAAAUGAUCUUCUAAUUUGCCUCUUAUCAUCUUUAUUUGCUUACAUUUGUACUUUGUAUCAAAUGGAAGAUUAUUUCUCCAAAAUAUGUAGUGUUUGUGGUAAUCUAUCAAGCCUUGGCUUGCUUCUCGGCUGUUGAUUUAGAUGAUAUUACUUGAGCAGGCAUAUGGAUUGCAUAUGGCAUAUGGAUUUCUUUUGGGCGAUAUUUAGUUGUUUUGACAAAUUUCAUUCCAUUCGGGAUUGAGUUGCUUUCUGUCUUCAUUGUUGUAUGAUUCUUGGAUUAAGCGCAAGAUGUUCACUUGGAUUUCAACUAUAUGGCUAUGUACCCUGGUCGAGACUGGUUCAU